AUUGAACGCUGGCGGCAUGCUUUACACAUGCAAGUCGAACGGCAGCGCGGGCUUCGGCCUGGCGGCGAGUGGCGAACGGGUGAGUAAUGCAUCGGAACGUGCCCAGUAGUGGGGGAUAGCCCGGCGAAAGCCGGAUUAAUACCGCAUACGACCUGAGGGUGAAAGCGGGGGACCGAAAGGCCUCGCGCUAUUGGAGCGGCCGAUGUCGGAUUAGCUAGUUGGUGGGGUAAAGGCUUACCCAGGCGACGAUCCGUAGCUGGUCUGAGAGGACGACCAGCCACACUGGGACUGAGACACGGCCCAGACUCCUACGGGAGGCAGCAGUGGGGAAUUUUGGACAAUGGGGGCAACCCUGAUCCAGCCAUGCCGCGUGCGGGAAGAAGGCCUUCGGGUUGUAAACCGCUUUUGUUCGGGAAGAAAUCCUCUGGGCUAAUACCCCGGGGGGAUGACGGUACCGGAAGAAUAAGCACCGGCUAACUACGUG
rnacentral:rRNA from 1 species